UGCCGGUUGCGGGCUGGGCUGUAUUUCGCAAGCACUGAAGGACGCUGACUUCCCAGAGAGUGUGGGAAAGACCACUCGACACCUUUUGCCGGUUCGGGUUUCCUGCUCAGCUCAUCACAGAUAACGCUACCUACUUUACAAUCAGCACCACCGUGAUUGGGAUCUUCGCCUGGCUGAACUGGCGUUCGCUACACGGACAACAGUAAACAGAUCUACAGGCUUCACACCGGCGUUCCUGAACUUGGGACGAGAGACACUUUUCCAGUGGAGAAUGCUCUACACCUCCGGGAUGGCAGUACCCAGCCUCCUUAUUCAAGGUUCGCUGAGGAACUCCGGAGUCGACUGGACGAUGCAGCUCUGACGGCUCGGGAGAAUCUGGACGUCGCACGGUUGCACCAGGCUCGCCAGUACAACCGAGGUCGACGGAACCUCACCUACAGCGUCGGCGACCUCGUCCUUCGACGGACUCACCCGCUAAGUGAUGCCGCACGCGGCUUUGCUGCUUCACUCGCAGAUAGGUGGGAUGGCCCCUUCGAGGUAAGUGCGUUCUCCUCCGGCAUCACUUGCAGGCUUCGUCGUUGUGACAUGGGCAAAGAAACUGGGCCAGUACACAUCUCGGACCUGAAAACUUACCACCUCCGAGACCUCGAGGGUGAAGAAGCAGACGUUCAGCUUCCUCCUCUAGACCUGGACAAGGAUCCCGUUCCCGGACCUUCCAGGCGCUACACUUUGCGUCCCCGCAGGCGGCGCAUGCAGCUGCCACUAUCUCCAUCGCUAAACUUGGUGCUUGAGACUUAGUGUAUAAUGUCUUGUUCUGUGAUUACCGUUUCUUUCACGACAGGUUUUCGGGGGCCUUUUCAGACCCUUGCCGUUAGGAGAUGCCUCCUGACUGUUCCAUUUGUGUUCGUUCUUUUUUUAGUUAUGGGUCCUCAACCAAAGCAUCAAGGAACGGCCCUCCGUUCUGCUCAACAGCAACACCGCCAGCCUGGGAGUUGCCGAAGUUCGCGGGUCGCCAGACCGCCUCCUCCCCCAGGCGCCCCUCCGUCGCGACGUGGACAGUUGUGGCUUUCAACCGGCCCGUUUCUUGGGCUUCCAGGGCUCGCUGGUCGAGCCAACCCAGCCCACUCCGUGGAGAUCACUCCGACCAAGUCCCUCCUCCGUUCCGGGGACUGACACUUCUGGACAGGCAUCCCGCGGACCCUCCGAUUGAUAUGACGAAAGACGACUGCUGUGUCCGGUCUGCGGGGUGCCUGAAAUUCACCGCUCCACUCAUCGCCAGGGACGCUUUCACCGCGCCAAGAUGGAUGACUUGCGAGAGGCCAGAACAACAGGCUCUGAUGUCGCUGCAUUAGUCGCCCCUUUCUGCAACGCCACCGCCCGGACUUGUUGCGUGGACAGGACCCCCUCCACCACCUGCUGACCACAUCAUAGACAUGCCCGACCAUAUUGAGGUCUAACGUGAGCCUUGGACAUUGAAUUUCUGUGAAGUGUGCCCCACAGUUUUGUGUGAGACUUACUCUGCGCAAAAACUUUUGAUGGGGGGGGGGAGUGUGGAUCGAUCUUGUGAUCAAGACGACGCAGACCAUGAACUUUGAUAACGACAGCGUGAACUGAUAAGGAUCCGGGGGUGCGCACAGGCUUGCAAGCAGGGGGCGCUGGUGGUGCAUGGGAGUGGGAUAUAAGCGAGUGGC